GAAAAGAAGGCCUCCUCGGACAUUAAGAAGGUACAAUUAGGUAGUAGUGGAAGUGCUCCCUUCAAAAACAAGUAAUAUCUCUUAAUUAUUACACUAGAAUGUAUGCAUGGUAAAUACCAUGACCUUGCAAAUUUACAUCUGUCCCCUUCUCCUUUUCUCAGGAACUUGGCAGAAGCUCUACAUAUGCAAAUGGAGGUUCAGACACAGCUCCAUGAACAGUUAUAGGUGCCUUAUUUGUUCCUGUUUUCGAGCUCUAAUAGGAUGGUGUUGUUGUCGCCUUGUCGGCAUAUAUUUCUGAUAGUAGGAGCAUUCUUUUUCUUGCUUCACAAUAAUUACUGCGCUUUGUGUAUAUAUGAACGCAAAUACAUAUUUAAAUGGGUGCUAAAUGUUGUUGUGGCAUGGUGGACUUUGGAGACUAGCGCUUUUAUAGUAUUGUUACGGACUCUGUUUUUUUUACUAAUAAUCAUAUUGAUUCUACCGAACUAAUCCUCUCUUUGUAUAUCUAGGAUUCCUACUAGAACAUGUGUCAUUCCAAAUUGUGACAAUGAUCUUUCUACUCAUGAGCAGUCCUUUUUAUACUGAAUUUUGAUGCAUAUUGUAUGUGACAAGAAGGACUCCUCGGACAUUAAGAAGGUACGACUAGGUAGCAGUGGAAGUGCUCCGUUCAAAAGCAACUAAUAUCUCUGAAUUAUUACACUAGAAUGUAUGCAUGGUAAAUACCAUGACCUUACAAAUUUACAUCUGUCCCCUUCUCAUUUUCUUAGGAACUUGGCAGAAGCUCUACAUAUGCAAAUGGAGGUUCAGACACAGCUCCAUGAGCAGGUAUAGGUGCCUUCUCUGUUCCUAUUUUCGAGCUCUAAUAGGAUGGUGUUGUUGUCGGCACAUUUUUCUGAUAGUAGGAGCAUUCUUUUUCUGCUUCACAAUAAUUACCGUACUUUGUGUAUAUAUGAACCCAAAUCCAUAUUUAAAUGGGUGCUAAAUGUUUUUUCAGCAUGGUGGACUUUGGAGACUAGCGCUUUUAUAGUAUUGUUACAGACUCCGUUUUUUACUAAAUAAAAUUGAUUCAUCAACACUGCCCUACUGUUUUUGAUGCACAAAAUUAGUCAAUCAACACAUUGGCCUGCUGAAAAUCAACACAUUGGACUGCAGCCAUACUAAUUACUGCAGAAUAUGGUGGUCAGCAAAAUCUACAAGAACAACUGUCCUAGGUGUAGAAUAACAAGGGGUGUGUGCUACGAAAAAUUAAGAGAGGGGGACAAUGAAAAGGAGUUGCCUCGACAGUACAUUGCUAGACGACCUCAAUGCGGUGCUCAGGGUGGCAAACGAAGAGGCGCCCAAUGUCCUUGUGGUGGAGAUAGGGGAGGACUUGGGCGUCCUGACGGUGGAGAACAGGGACGCGCCGGUGUCCUCGUGGUGGAGAAUGAGGAGACGACCUGCAUCCUUGCAGUGGGGAACGGGAAAGCAUAUUAGCAUCUUGUUCCUAAAAAAUAUAGUUUAGUGUGGUGUUUCCCGUUGAUAGUAAGUUGACUGCCAAUUUCACAGCUUUUACAGUUUUAGGAGGUGCUGCAAGAUUAUUUUUGCAUUGUUAUCAUAGUGUGGUGUUUCCGUUGAUAGUAAGUUGACUGCCAAUUUCACAGCUUUUACAGUUUUAGGAGGUGCUGCAAGAUUAUUUUGCAUUGUUAUCUUAUAUGAUUUUCAGAUUAUUCUAUCAUGAAGUAUUGGUUUAUUAUUGAGGUAGCCUUAGAUGGAGGAGCUGAAUGCAGUUUUUGUAUCUUUUUUCAAAGUCCUGAAUGGUCCCAUGAAAAUCCUUGUAUGUGCAGUUUCAGAGCCUCAUCACACUGGUACGAAAAUAGGUAUUUAGGUAAUCGAAGGCUCCAUUUUUUCUAUUAUAUAGAUUAUAUAGCAUGGUGAUCGAAGGUAGGUUGUCACAUAGGGUUUGUUGCUUGUGAAAAUUAUAUACAGCCAUGACCAUGAGUCCCUGACAAAAUAAUCUCAGCUCAUGUUACUAGGAUCAGGGAACCUCGACCACUUUUCUGAAACACGACGCAUCUCAUGUUCCUACUUUCCCAGCUACAAUACUAUGUACUUCAUUCUUACAUUUGCUUUUCGAAGUUAUAUCGCUUUCUUUUCCCUCAUAAACUUGCUAAUGAUAUUGGCGAAGUAAUCCCCACUUCAGAUUUCCCAUUUAAUGAAUAACUAAUUUAGUUUGUUCAAAAAUUGUAGGUCAAGAGCCAUGAAUAGGAGCAAGGCAUCACACUCCAUCUCCGAAGCAAAAACAUUUUGCUUGUAAUAAUGAACUGUAGUUUACCACAAUCUCUCAAAAACAGGCCUACCUAUUACCAGUCCGUUUCUUGCCUUUCUUUAGGAAGUAUGCUCGGUCGUAUAUAUUUACAUUCGUGUUGUUUAGUUGUGGUUUGUAUGCUUGAAAAUACGUUUUAACCGAGCUUGAAAAUUCUUAUGUGAAGUGAAAUUGUAUCUAACACUUUGUAAAGAACAAAUGAAACACGUUUCAAAUAAGUCUUAGUCUAAAUCGACAACUUGUGCCAUUUGACAUCGUAAUCAUAAAUGGUUGCUAAAGAGUUUGAAUUGGUAAAGUGCUUUCAUCCGCUGUUUCAAGUCUGGACUGUUCCUUAGUGCUAAAACCUAAUUUAAUUUUCAAAACACUUUGUGUUUGAAAUGAACAUUGUGCUAUAUGGCGUAAUGGGCCAUUUGUGUCACCAGUCGAGUACGCUUCUCCCGCCCAAAGGAGGAACCGAGUAAGAAAAGAAAUACAUAGUCACGAUCUGAUGCCGCUUCAUAUUUUACUCCGGACGGGCCACACAAAGAAUUGUUUCUGGACCAAGCUAGGUAUUUGGACGGCCCACACCAAGAAUUGUUCCGGGCUAGGUAGCAUAUGGGCCUUUCAAAUACACAUGCCUCCUUAUGCACAACAUAGAGAGGUUUUUGCACAUGGAAAAUAAAAUUUUAGUGCAAACACUGCUAAAAAAAUACAGCCUUAACUGGUCCAUACAUGUUAUAUAAACAUAAAAAAAUUCAAGCUCAGAUUUCUCAGUGUGAUAACCAUAUUUGCAACUAAAAAAUGCUUCCUUAGCUGGUCUAUUCAUGUUAUAGAAAUAAGUUUUUUUCAAACUCAGGUUUCUCAGUGUGAUAAACAUAUUUUCAAUAUAGUACUUAUGACUUAACACAUGGGCUAACUACUACCAAUAUCGAAUAUGCCCUUGCAAAAUGAAACUAUUUUCAUCGACGUGUCUUUAGCAGGUCUCUGCGCCAUUUGACAGAACGAGUCAACUAGUAUAGUAAAACAUGACAUGUCUCUCUCUACUGAUGAGGUGCGAAUUGUCUUUUGUUUGUACACGUUAAUCUUGUUCUCCUGAAAUUUCAAGCCGCGCCUUGUUAUGCCAAUAUUUCAAACUAGCAUCUCUGUCUAUCGUGCUGGGAAACUCCCGCAUCUUCAACCCAUGCCUUGUUACCCCGAAAUAUUUAAGAUAUAUCUUUGUCUCGUUGUGCUCCGAAAAUUCCCUCCAUCUCAACCCACGCCUUGCUAUCUCAAAAUUACAAUGCGCGCAAAAACUCCCACCUCCUACGAAAUCCCGACACGCGAAAUGCCCGUGAUACCCCUGAACCGAAAGAACCGCCUACCUCAAAUCGGUGGCGGUACUUUCGUAACUUACCCCACAUUUCGUACAAGUGCGUCCCUAAGCCAUGGUCCCCCCUUCCAUCCCAUCCGCACACCCAUUCGUACACCGAGGCCGCGAAAACCCGCGAAGCCCCACACCCUCCUCCAUCCACCAUGUCGCCGGAGCCUCUUCCCCGACGAUGUCGUCCAUAGCAACACCUCGACGUCCCUCAUCCAUCGCACUGGAUGAGGAUCCGUCGUCGAUCUCGUCGUAACGCCUGUUUAGCCACCUCGUCCUCCACCUCCAAAGAGCUGCCCUGAUGUUCCCCUCGUCUUUCGCGCCACCUCCAUUCCUACACUGCCAUCUUCACCCGCACCACCGGAAGAGCAGCAUCAUCACCGAUUCCUCGGAUGAAGCUAAGGCCUAAUCGGGGCCACCAAAGAGGUUCUACACUAAUCGCCGCAUUUUCUUCUUGAUUCGAUCUCAAGGUGCUGCCCGCGCUCGGUCCUAAGCCGACAUGGCGCGGCUCCAUCCACGGCGGCGUCGCCGGCCACUUCCUCCACGGCGUCGCUCCCUCUGUAGCGACAUCCACAUCAGCAGGAGCUGCUGCUUUGGCUCUCGCUCACGCUGCUGCUCUGCUCUUGCUCUCAGUCCCCUACCUGGUAUACUCUUGCUCUUGCUCACGCUACUUCUCUCACUCUUUCCAUUGCUUGUGAUGCUGCUCUCGCUCUUGCUCUUGCUUGCACUGCUGCUCUACUAUUGCGCGCGCUGCUGCUGCACGAGCAGCAGAUCUUGUUCUCUCUCGUGCCCCUGCAGCUGCUACCCGAGAUGCUGCUACACGACCAGCUGCCCCGGCUCUCGCACGCGCCGUUGCUCUGGGCGUGGCUGCUGCUGCUACUACUUUUCUGCUACUAGUGUGUUCUGUUUCGACAGUAAAAUUCAGUUUCGACAGCAAAAGUCAGUUUUGACAGUUAAAUUCAGUUUCAACAGUUAAGUUCAGAGAUGAGCGGUUGAUGUAUUUUACAUCUAGCACUUUGGGGUUAUGUAUUUUACGUCAUCUAUUGGAGAUGCUAUUAGAAUUCCACUCAGGUUAACGUUGUCUCUCUUGUCCUGCUUCAGCCUCGCCGUUGUACAACUCAUCGGGGCUUCUCCAACAACGAAACCCUCCGUCACAAUGGAGCAGUGACCCUGGGCUCCAUCUCCAGACGCCUAAGAUAUUCUUCCCCUUCUCCGACAGCCAAAUCAGCUGGAGUAUCCUCACCGACCAACCCAAUCACGCUGAGAUCGACAUGAAUUCAUCAAAGAGGUUGUACACUUGUUGCAUCUCUGUUUUACUCUUCAUGUUAUAUAUAUAUAUAUAUAUAUAUAUAGUCCACUGAGCACAUGUAGUAACAUGAAAUAUGAUUAGUUUCUCCUACUAUAUGACAAGUAGUGAGGUACCAAGCAACUUAGCUAUCCGUGAUGGACUCUCUUAAACGCCAUCAUUAUUUAUCUCUAUGCGUUUGAGCUGUGCAUUUGUAGAUGAGCCUGGUAGUUGAGCUAGUAGGGCAAUGGCCUUGGUCCAAAGUAGUAAAAGUAUCACAAAAACUUUUUUUGAGUGUAGGCUUUUCCCUGCUCAAGCCUGCCUACUAGAAUCGCCAAUGCUUGAAAGGAAAAGUGAAGAAAAAACAUAGGAAUUGGAAAGUUUCCUAUGGUACUACUAUUCAUGCAUUUGGUUCGAAGGAAUGGAGCAAAGGAAAACUGUAGGAUUUGUUCCUUUAGUGUCUCCUUGAAAGAGAAACUGUAGGAAUUUUAAUAUCCACUUGUCCUCCUUUUCAAAUUCCUAUUCAUGAAGCACAAGACUAAGAGAUAGUAACAUAAUAGCAUUAUAACCGUGCUUUUUUGUGGUUUGACUUAAUCUCAUCAUGCUUCUUUGCAUCCCGUGAUCUUCCAAUUCUUGUGAACCAAACACCCAGAUUGGCAGAAAUCCUAUAUUUUUAAAUUCUCUAUUUUGCACGUGCAUUCCUAUCCUAUUCCUGUGUAUUUGCUAUCCCUGCAUUGUUAGAAUCCUCAAAUUCAAACAAGCCCUUAUAGAAUUACUUCUGUUACAGAUAUGUGUCAAAGAAAACCUUGUGUGGUUUGUCCCGCUCCUGCUGCUCUAUGUUCCACCCCGGCUCAGCUGCUCCAACAAAGGAAGGGUUCACCACAACAGGGAUCCGCUCUCUAGACUGUCUUUCGCCGCCUCAUAUCUUCUUCUCGCCGCCGGCAGCCACAACAACUGCAUUACCAUCAUCGCCUGAGCAGAUGACCUUGAGGACUACACGGGUCCGCAAGAGAGGUCGCACUCUUUUGUGUCUGCUUACGUUAUGCAUCGCUUAAUAUGAUGACAUGCUACUUUAUCGUCCUGUUCACCUAUUAGACUCCUAGUCAAGUCCAAACUAAUGCUCAAACUUGAGUUUUUAAAUGGUUGUGGGGUACAUAUUGGGGCAGGAAUCAAUACUAUAUGUCUACUAUCUGGUUAAUCUCAGGUGUCUACUAUGAGUUCCCUGUUGGGUGGAAACAAACAUUAAAGGAGACAUUAUCUGUAUUUUUUAACUAAAGCUAUUAUCUGCCUUCUAUCAUUGGUUUUGGGUCUAUCCAUAGUUUGCUACCAUCACUAUGGAUUUGUGCAUGCACUCCUUACAUAAUCUAACUAUGUUUUAUUCCUAUGCAUGUCAGUUAUUGUACACAAUGGAACUAAACAUGUAGAGAAAACGAGAUGAGCCUUGUGUGGCAAUAAAAUUUCAUGCAGACGUCGCUCCAUGGUGGGCGCAAAGGUCGCCCCCCCUCCACCCAUUUCGGAUUGUAAUCAAGAGGAAGAUAACUAUUCCGAGGGGGAUUCAGAAGGAGAAGACCACUCCUAUUUACCCCCUAAGGUAUUCGCUCUAACUUGGGAUGCUAAUGUUGGUAAUAUAAUGCACAUGAUGCCUUGCAUUGCUUACUUUAUACAUCAAAUAUGUCAUCUAGUUAGUUUAGACAUGCUUUGUGUGAAUGCCAUCUGUUUAGUUUCCUUAUCGUAUAUGUGAAUCAUGCAAUGUCAUCUUGUUUAGCCAGGCGUCAUAUAUGUGAAUUUUGCAAUGCCACCCUGGUUAUCCAGUCAUCUUAUAUGUGAAAUAUAUCAUGCCAUCAUUUUUUACUACGUAUUAAAUUUGUCAACAAUUUUAAUACAUUCAAUUACUCUUCUUGUGCAUCAGCCAUUCGACACGAUCAUGGAAAAAUCUGGAGUGGAAACAAGGUCUUCAGAGCAAACAAUGCUAUCUCACGAAGCGCAUGUCUUGCUGGUUACAGAUAGCUCCUCGGAGGAGGAUUCAGAGAUAGCUGACCAGUCCUAUUCCCCCCCAGGUGCAUGCUCUAACUUGGCAGGGUUAUAUUUCUCAUAUCGUGCAUAUGGUGUCUUGCAUUGGCAUGUCAUUUGCUUAGUUUACACAUGCUUUGUCUGAAUGCCACCUGUGUAGUAUCUAAUUACCAUGUAUGUGAAUUUUGCAAUGCCAUCUUGUUGCAAGACAUUAUAUAUGUGAAUUAUGCAAUGCUAUCUUGUUGCAAGACAUUAUGUAUGUGAAGUAUGCAAUGACAUGUUGUUUAGCCAAGCGUCAUAUAUGUGAAUUAUAUAAUACCAUCCUUUUUUGUAUUACUCAUUGAAUUUGUCGACAAUUUUUGUAUAUUCAACUGCUCUUCCUGUGCAUCAACCAUUUGAAUUGGUGAUGGAGAAAUUUGGAGUGAAAACAAGGUCUUUAGAGCAGACAAUGCUACCUGCUGAAGCAGAUAUCUUCUUGGUUACAGAUAGCUCCUCAAAGGAGGAUUUAGAGGCAGAUGACCAAUCCUAUUAUCCCCCUGAGGUGUACGCUCAAACUUGGCAGGGUUAUAUUACUCAUAUCAUGCAUAUGUUGUCUUGCAAUGCUUAGUUUCACAUCAUAUACACAAUAUUAAAUGCCAUCUCCUUAGUCGACAUAUCAUAUAUGCAAUUGCCCUCUGCUCACUUGCUUAGUAUACAAAUCAUAUAUUUGAAUUAUAUCAUGCCAUGAUGUUUACAUAGAGAACAUGUAUCUGAAUUAUGGCAUGCCAACCCAUUUUCUAAAGACAUAAUAUAGUUAUAUCAUCUCAUCAUGUUUACAUAGUCAUCAUAUUUUGAAUUAUGUCAUUCUAUCCGUGAAUUAUAUCAUGUCAUCAUGUUUCCAUCGACUGCAUGUUUGUGAAUUAUGGCAUGCCAACCACUUUAAUAGACACAUCGUAUAGUUAUAUCAUGUCAUCAUGUUUACAUAGUCAUCAUAUUUUUGAAGUACGCCAUUCUAUCCUGUUUAGUUAGCCAUCAUACAUGUGAAAUUGUGUCAUGCUAUCCUGUUUAAUUAGCCAUCAUAUAUGUGAAACUAUGUCAUGCUAUUCUGUUUGGUUAGACAACAUAAAUGUGAAUUAUUCCAUGCCCUGUUUUCUUCCCUACUAUCCAUUGCACCUGUCUAUCUUACAAUGUCUGUACAUUCAAUUACUUUUCUUGUUUAUCAGCCAUUUGAUUUGGAGGGGGUGAUGGCAGUAUAUGUGGGAGUAAAAACACAGUCUUCACAAAAGAUCAUGCUACUUGUCGAUGUAGAUAGAACCAUGGUUGUACUUGCCCAAGAACCAGCCCCACCAUGCAUAACCUAGACUCACGCAGAUUGUACCCCUACCCAGUUGGACAGAGAACCAGCUACACCCCUUCUAACCCCAACCCCAGCAGAUAGUAACUCAGUUCCAGUUGACACAACACCGUCUCCACUACACAGCACCCAAACACGAGCAAUUAGUAAGGCAACUGCAGUGCCCAAAGCACGAGGACCACCACUCUAAACCCCAAGUUAACGCUUAAGGAAGAAGAAGAAUUGUUCUCAGGUCAGGUUCCGUAGCUAUGUUUCAUACUCCUUUGCUCUUGCAUCACUGUGUUUACUCGUAUGAACUAAUCUCAAAUUUGAAGGAUUCAAUUGAAACCCCAAUGGCACAACAAGUAUGUUUUAAACCUGUUUCUUUAACGUGGUUGCUGAUGUAACUUGCUCUAUGUUGAUUUCAGUUUCAAUUGAAUAAAUAGUUAUGUUCUCAUGACAUGCACAUUACAAGUGUUGUUAUUGCUGUGUAGUUUCCCACACUUAUAUUUUAUCUAUGCUGCUCUGUCUUAAAUAGAUAUGAUUUGAACUGUCUCUAUCUUGAUUUGGCAACAUAAACUUGUUGGGGAACAUAGUAAUAAUUCAAAAAUUUCCUACGUGUCACCAAGAUCAAUCUAGGAGAUUCUAGCAACGAGAGAGAGGGAGUGCAUCUUCAUACCCUUGAAGAUCGCUAAGCGGAAGUGUUACAAGAAUGCAGUUGAUGGAGUCGGCGAUUCAAAUCACGGAAGAUCUAAUCCAAGCGCCGAACGGACGGUGCCUCCGCGUUCACCACACGUAGAGCCCGGGGACGUCUCCUCCUUCUUGAUCCAGCAAGGGGAGAGGAGAAGUUGAGGGAGAACUCCGGCAGAACAACGACAUGGUGGUGGUGGAGCUCGUUGUUCUCCGACGGAGGUUCGCUAAGCACUACGGAGGAGGAGGAGGAGUUGGAGGAGGGGAGGGUUGCGCCAGGUAAGGGGGUGCGGCUGCCCUCUCUCUCCCUCACUAUAUAUAGGGGGAAGGGGGAGGAGGAGGCACCCUAGGUUUUCCCUAGGGGAGGGGCGGCGUCCAUAGGGGAAACCCUAGAUGGCUUUGGGCGCCCCCACCCCUAGGAAACUUGCCCCCAAAGCCGGGAGGGGCGGCUUCCCUAGGGGAGGCGCCCCCACCUCUCCAGGUUACGUGAGAUGGGGUGGGAGGGGCGCACAACCCCUUAGUGGGCUGGUGUGCCCCCUCCCCUUGGCCCAUAAGGCCCCCAACGCUUGUCAGGUCCUCCGAAACACCUUUCGGUCACGCUAGUCGUCUCUCGAUACUCCCAGAACAAUUCCGGACUACAAUAUCCUUCGUCCAAUAUAUCGAUCUUCACCUCCGGACCAUUCCGGAGUUCCUCGUCACGUCCAGGAUCUCAUCCGGGACUCUGAACAACCUUCGGUAACCACAUACUAUUUCCCAUAACAACUCUAGUGUCACCGAACCUUAAGUGUGUAGACCCUACGGGUUCGGGAACCAUGCAGACAUGACCGAGACACCUCUCCGGCCAAUAACUAAUAGCGGGAUAUGGAUACCCAUAUUGGCUCCCACAUGUUCCACGAUGAUCUCAUCGGAUGAACCACGAUGUCGGGAAUUCAAUCAAUCCCGUAUACAAUUCCCUUUGUCCAUCGGUAUGUUACUUACCCGAGCUUCGAUCGUCGGUAUCCCCAUACCUCGUUCAAUCUUGUUACCGGCAAGUCUCUUUACUCGCUCCAUAAAGCAUGAUCCCAUGGCUAACUCCUUAGUCACACUGAGCUCAUUAUGAUGAUGCAUUGCCGAGUGGGCCUAGAGAUACCUCUCCGUCAUACGGAGCGACAAGUCCCAGUCUCGAUUCCUGCCAACCCAACAGACACUUCGGAGGUACCUGUAGUGCACCUUUAUAGCCACCCAGUUACGUUGUGACGUUUGAUACACUCAAAGCAUUCCUACAGCAUCCAGGAGUUGCACAAUCUCAUGGUCUAAGGAAAUGAUAUUGGACGUUAGAAAAGCUCUAGCAAACGAACUACACGAUCUUGUGCUAUGCUUAGGAUUGGGUCUUGUCCAUCACAUCAUUCUCCUAAUGAUGUGAUCCCAUUAUUAAUGACAUCCAAUGUCCAUGGUCAGGAAACCAUAACCAUCUAUUGAUCAACGAGCUAGUCAACUAGAGUCUUACUAGGGACAUGUUGUGGUCUAUGUAUUCACACAUGUAUUAUGGUUUCUGGUUAAUACAAUUAUAGCAUGAACAAUAGACAAUUAUCAUGAACAAGGAAAUAUAAUAAUAACCAUUUUAUUAUUGCCUCUAGGGCAUAUUUCCAACAGUCUCCCACUUGCACUAGAGUCAAUAAUCUAGUUCACAUCGCCAUGUGAUCAACACUCAUAGUUCACAUCGCCACAUGACUAACACCCAAAGAGCUUACUAGAGUCUAUAGUCUAGUUCACAUCGCCAUGUGAUUAACACCCAAGAGUUUACUAGAGUCAAUAAUCUAGUUCACAUCACCAUGUGAUUAACACUCAAUGAGUUCUAGGGUUUGAUCAUGUUAUGCUUACGAGAGAGGUUUCAAUCAACGGGUCUGCAACAUUCAUAUCUGUGUGUUCUUCGCAAAUCUCUAUUUCAUAUUGUAGAUGUUGCUACUAUGCUCUAAUUGGAGCUAUUCCAAAUGGUUACUGUCGGUGUCAAAACCGGCAGAUCUCGGGUAGGGGGUCCCGAACUGUGUGUCUAAGGCAGAUGGUAACAGGAGGCAGGGGACACGAUGUUUACCCAGGUUCGGGCCCUCUUGAUGUGUAGCGACCAGACCUCAAACGGUCCAAUCUCUGUGCUCUGGUGUCAUCCCUGGAUCAGUAAUGCUGACACCACAUAGUACUUGAAGGAUUUAUAGCAGAGUAGCAAUCACACACUUAUUACAUCGAGUGUCUCGAGAGAGAACUUAUUACAAUUGAUAUGGAUUAAGGCCAUCUAAUAACGAUAACAGCGGAAGGCUUGGAAGAUAAGUGAGUCCAUCAACUCCAACGGCAUCAUUGAGUAUAGAACCACGACCUAAAACUCCUUAAUCGUUGUCUGAAAAGUCCGCAACAUUAACGUUGCAGCCCGAAAUGGGUCAGCACAUGGAAUAUGCUGGCAAUGUAACACAUAGAGAGUAAUGGAAUGAAACAGCUAUUCUAUAUGCAUAUUUGGCUGGUGGAAAGCUCUAUGGUUACAGUUUUGCGUAAAGCCAAUUUUUCCUACUGCAAAGGAAUAAAUUUAUUUAACUAUCAUGGUGGUUGUUAAACAUUGAGAAUGGUUGACAACAUUCUCAAUCCAAAUUAAGCAUCAUCAUUAAACAAAUCCGUCAAAAUUAAUUUAGAGUAACAUGUUGAGAUUCACAUGAUAAUCCAGGUACUAGAUACUCAAGAUGUCCAUAACCGGGGACACGGCUAACCAUGAUUAGUUUAUACACUCUGGAGAGAUUUGCGCACUUUUCCCCACAAGACUCGAUUGCCUCCGCUUGGUUUCUCGCACUACAAGGUGUUUGAGAAGAUGGAUGACCGAGACAUAGUCUUUCAGAAGCGCUAGCACCUUACGAUGGAUAGACCGUACCACCUACAUCCCCUACAUCUGCUAGUCUACCACUGUAAGAGUUCGCAUGACUUAGUCAACUAUGCUAGAGCCCAUAAUAGCUUGUGGCUGCACACGGAAGUUUCUAGCAUGAAAAAUCUCAUGAUCCCUUUGAGCCUGGGUGGUGGUCCAUAAAGAAAAACAGGCAAUCCUGGAAUACCAAGGUACCUCAAUCCACCCAGAUGUGUGUUUAAGUUGCCACGUUAAAUAAACCAUUAAUUAACAAUCUCACAUCUGUCAUGGAUACACUCACCCAAUCCACGUCUACUAGCAUAGCAUGGCAUAAUAAGCAAACGUAGAAGUGACUCCCAAAGGUUUGACAGUAAACAGGUAAUAGGUACUACCUCAACUACUUCCCAAACCCACAAUUUAAUUAGAUCCUAAUCAUGCAAUGUGUAAGGAUUGAUCUAAUGCAAUAAAACUGGGUAGUAGGAGGUAUGAUCAAAGUGUUACUUGCCUUGCUGAUGAUCCGUGAAACCUAGCGAUUCGAAGUAGCAAACGACGCACUCCGGGUACUCUAUCGCAAACAAACAAGCAUAAAGUAAGUACUCAACUAAUGCACAGGUAAAACUCAAAUAAGAGAUCUAACCAGAAGGUUCAACUUAAGAACUCCGGUUGGCAAAAAGAAUCAAAUCGAACGAAGCAACGAAAGACAAAACGACAAAAUAAACAAGCUUCGUUUACUAUUCUGGACCUAGGGCAAUUUUUACGGUGGCAAAAACUUGUUUGAGUUGGUUAAACGGAAAGAGGGUUUCGAGACGAAACUCCGGGCGCUUGAAUCGCCUGAUUCCGAUAAACGGCGAAAAGUUAAACUAAAAUGAAAAUCGGAUCAGAAAUCGUGAUCAGAAAAAUCGCGGAUUUAAUCUGAGAAAAAGAAAAACGACAAACGUUCGUUAAAACGAACGAACGGACGAACGCUCACUAAUUAAAUAAACCGGAAAACUGAUCUAUUUAAAAAACCUAAACUAAAAAAACGAACAAAACCGUUGGAAAACCGAACGGUUUUUCUAAAAAAAUGGCGGCGGGAUCGAGGUAAACCUCGGGCGGCGGGUCCGACGGCAGCGGCUCCGGCGUCAGCGGCGGCGGCGGCUCCGGCGGUGGCGCGGGGCGGCGGGCGGCGGCGGCGGCUUGGGGUGGCUAGGGUUUGUGGUGGGGUUCCGGCUGGGCCUCCCGGGCUUAUAAAGCCGGACGGGCCUCGUGUCCGGGUCGGACACGGCCCGUAGGUCGGUUGCGUUUCUUUAUAAUAGUUACACUCAGAAAAAAACAAAAGGACUACUAAAUGGACUCCAAAAAUCCCGAAAUAAAUUUUCCCCGGCUUCUAAAAUCAAGCCGCACAAGAUGAACAUUUAUUUGGGGCAUAAAUGCAAUUUUGAAAAACACACAUUUUUCCUAAAUUCAAAUAAAAUAGCAAACAAAACCAAAUAAAAUAUUGUUUGAUUUUUUAUUAAAUCCUCAAUAUUUCUUUAUUUUGGGAAAGUCAUUUUAUUCCCUCUCUCAUAUUUUUAUAUUAGAAAUAAUUGAAGAUAAAAUAAAUAAAAUCAAAUGAUCCUAUUUUCAAAAUUUGAGACAACUCAAAUAUGAAAAUAACAAAAUCUCCAACUCUCUCUGAGGGUCCUUGAGUUGCGAAAAUUUCUAGGAUCAACCAAAAUGCAAUAAAUAUGAUAUGCAAUGAUGAUCUAGUGUAUAACAUUCCAAAUUGAAAAUUUGAGAUGUUACAAACCUACCCCCCUUAAGAUGAAUCUCGCCCUCGAGAUUCGGGUUGGCUAGAAAAUAGGUGAGGGUGGUCUUUCAGCAAUUCUUCCUCUCGUUCCCAGGUGGCUUCAUCCUUCGUGUGGUGGCUCCACUGAACCUUGCAAAACUUGAUAACCUUGCUGCGGGUGACUCAACUGGCAUAUUCUAGAAUCUUAACUGGUUUCUCCUCAUAGGUCAAAUCAUUGUCCAACUGAAUUGCUUCCAGUGGUACCGUAUCUCUUAGCAGUAUGUCAGCCAUCUCUGCAUGGCACUUCUUCAACUGGGAUACAUGAAACACGUCGUGAACUCCUGACAGUUCUUUGGGUAAUUCCAACUUGUAGGCUACUUCUCCCAUACGCUCCAAAACAUUGUAUGGGCCUACAAAACAUGGCGCUAGUUUUCCCUUAACUCCAAAGCGCUUACCUCCUCGAGGUGGAGAUACUCGAAGAUAAACUCCGUCUCCUACUUCGUAAACUGUCUCCUUCCAUUUAGAAUUUGCAGAACUCUUCUGCUUGGACUGAGCUACCUUCAGCCUGUCACGAAUCAAUUUCACUUUCAGUUCAGAUUCCUUUAUCAGAUCCGGUCCAAACAACUGGCGAUCUCCAACUUCAUCCUAGGACAAUGGGGUCCUGCACCUCCUUCUGUACAAGGCUUCGAAUGGGGCCAUCUUCAAACUGGAUUGAUAGCUGUUGUUGUAAGAGAACUCUGCAUAUGGAAAAUUCUCAUCCCAACUAGAUCUGUAAUCUAGCGCACAAGCUCUUCGCAUAUCCUCCAAAAUCUGAUUGACUCUCUCAGUCUGUCCAUCUGUCUGCGGAUGAAAAGUUGUGCUAAACUCCAGUCUAGUUCCCAAAGUCUCAUGCAACUGAUUCCAGAACUUUGAUGUAAACUGGGUUCCUCUAUCUGAUACAAUGCUUCUUGGUACUCCAUGCAGACAUACGAUCCUGGUCAUGUAUAUCUUUGCCAACUUUGCACUGGUAUAGGUAGUCUUUACUGGAAUGAAAUGAGCUACCUUUGUCAAGCGAUCGACUACAACCCAUAUCGAGUCAUAGCCUGAACGUGUUCUGGGUAAUCCUGUAAUAAAAUACAUGCCUAGCUUAUCCCACUUCCAUUCGGGUAUCGGCAAUGGUUGUAGCAAUUCGGCUGGCUUCUGAUGCUCUGCCUUCACUCUCUGACAUACAUCACAAACUGCUACAUACUCCGCAAUAUCUUUCUUCAUUCCGGUCCACCAGAAAAUAUCCUUCAAAUCCAAAUACAUCUUGGUAUUUCCUGGGUGAAUCGAAUACGGUGAAUCAUGGGCCUCUUGUAAAAUUAACUUCCUGAUCUCCGGAUCAUUUGGUACAUAGACACGGUCUUUAAACCAUAAGGUAUCGUGCUCAUCCUCACGAAAUCCCUUAGCUUUUCCUUUGUUCAUUUUCUCCUUAAUAGAAGCAAUCUCCUUGUCAGUCCUUUGAGCUUCUCUGAUCUUAUCCAUCAAAGUAGACUGAAUCUCCAAUGGUGCUACAUAGCCUCUCGAGACUAUUUCCAAACAUAGCUCUCAAAGAUUUUCGGCUAACUCCCUUGGCAAAUCUCCCAUCAUUAGGGUGUUCACGUGGCUCUUACGGCUCAACACAUCAGCUACUACGUUAGCCUUUCCAGGGUGAUAAUGCAAUUUCAUAUCAAAAUCCUGGAUGAGCUCCAACCAUCUUCUUUGUCUGAGAUUCAACUCCUUCUGUGUGAAAAUAUACUUCAAACUCUUAUGAUCCGUGUACACCUCGCAAUGGUUACCAAUCAGAAAAUGUCUCCAAGUCUUCAAUGCAUGCACUACGGCCGCUAACUCCAAAUCAUGCGUAGCAUAAUUCAACUCAUGAGGCUUAAGCUGUCGUGAGGCAUAUGAAACAACUCACCCUUCCUGCAUCAGCACUGCUCCAAGUCCUCGACGUGAAGCGUCACAAUACACCUCAUAAUCCUUGGUCUGAUCCGGUAAAAUCAACACUUGUGAGGUAACCAAAUGUUUCUUCAACUCCUGAAAACUAGCCUCACAUUCCUCAGUCCAUAUGAACUUGGUAUCCUUCUUCAACAACUCCGUCAUAGGCUUCGCAAUCUUUGAGAAAUUUUCAAUAAACCUCCGGUAGUAUCCUGCGAGUCUGAGAAAACUCCGGAUCUCUCCCACGAUGGUUGGUGCUUCCCACUUGGUCACGGUAUCUACUUUAGUGGGAUCAACUGCUAUACCUUCUCCGGAUAUAACGUGUCCGAGAAAUCCAACUUCUUUCAACCAAAACUCACAUUUGCUAAACUUGGCAUAUAACAGAUGUUCUCUGAGCUUUCCAAGAACCAAACGCAAAUGUUCCUUAUGCUCCUCUUCAUUCUUCGAGUAAACCAGGAUAUCAUCAAUGAACACUACGACGAACUUAUCCAAGAACUCCAUAAACGCUUUGUUCAUCAUGUUCAUAAAAUAUGCAGGUGCGUUAGUCAGACCAAAUGACAUAACGGUAUACUCGUACAGCCCAUACCUGGUGGUAAAAGACGUCUUGGGUAUAUCCUGUUCCCGAAUCUUCAACUGGUGGUAUCCUGAUCGCAGAUCGAUCUUGGAAAAUACCUUAGCUCCUUGCAAUCGAUCAAACAGAUCAUUGAUCAUCGGUAGUGGGUACUUGUUCUUGAUGGUUACUUCAUUCAAUCCUCGAUAAUCGACAACCAUCCUUAACGAUCCAUCCUUCUUUUCUACUAGAAGUACUGGCGAUCCCCAAGGUGAAGAACUUGGGCGAAUAUAACCUUUAUCCAGUAACUCCUUAAUUUGCUUCUUAAUUUCCACCAAAUCCUUUGCAGGCAUCCUAUAUGGAAUCUUUGAUAUUGGCCCUGUGCCUGGCAAAAGCUCAAUCAAAAAAUCAAUAUCUCUAUCCGGUGGCAUGCCUGGCAACUCUUCUGGAAAUACUUCGGGGAAAUCCUUCACUACUGUUACUUCCUCCUGCACAACUCCGGUUAAACAAUUUACUUGAGUCCUCUUUGGCACAUGUCGGGAUACAUACUUGAUCCUUCUCCCUUCUGGGGUGGUAAGCAAAAUUGAUUUACUGGCACAUUCAAUAUUCCCUUCAUACUUUGACAACCAAUCCAUGCCUAAUAUCACAUCCAAUCCUUGGGAUUCCAGCAUUAUUAGGUCUGAUGGGAAUUCGUAGUUACCAAUCCUUAAUGGUAACCGAUCACACCAUAGACUAGCCAUAUAUUCUGUCCUAGGCGAGGUUACUAACAUGGGUGACCUAAGGGCUUGGGUUGGCAAUUUAUACUUAUCCACAAAUCCCCUUGAUAUGUAUGAAUGCGAUGCACCAGUAUAAAAAAGAACGAGUGCAGUAAAUGACUUAACCAAAAACUUACCAAUUACUGCAUCUGGCUGCUCUUCAACCUCCUCCGCAUUAGCGUGGUUCACAUGUCCCCUUUUGAAAGGGUUCGGCUUCUUCCCAGAGCUUCCAUUGCCAUUCCCAUUCUGGGAUUCAGGACAUUCAUUGGCAUAAUGUCCGGUCUUCUGGCACUUAAAGCAAGUGACUUGGCUCAAGUCUUUCUUGGCUGGGGUUGAUGGGUUGGUGCGGUUCUGGCCGUUGCUUCCUCCAUUCCCAUUACCAUUCCUGGGGCCAUUGUGAUUGUGCGAGCUACCUCCUCCAUGGGUAUGCUGAAGAUGUCCUACCGGCCUAGGGGUAAAUCAAGGCUUCUGCUGAGCUCCUGAAUUGUGCUUUCCUUGAGCAUACUUCCUCUUGCAAUUCCCUAUUUGCUGCUGCUUCCCUUCAAUCAUGAGAGCACGAUCUACCAACUCCUGGUAGUUGUUGAAGGUUGCUACCAUCAACUGCAUGCUCAACUCAUCAUUCAGUCCUUCCAGAAACUUCUCCUGCUUUGCUACAUCCGUAGCAACGUCAUCUGGGGCAUAACGUGCUAAUUUACUAAAGUCUUCCACAUACUGGCCAACUGUCCGUCCUCCUUGGCGCAAGUUGUGAAACUCUCGCUUCUUCAUGGCCAUAGUUCCUGCUGAAACAUGGGCAGUACGAAAAGCCUGCUAAAACUGGUCCCAUGUGAUAGUAUCGACAAGGAAAGUGGCUGUGAAAUUCUCCCACCAUGAGGCUGCGGGUCCUUCAAGCUGAUGUGCGGCAAACUUCACCUUCUCCGCAUCCGUGCAUCCUGCUGUGGUCAACUCUCUAGCUGUCUUGCGGAGCCAAUCAUCUGCUACUAUCGGCUCGGUGCUACUGGAAAACACCGGCGGAUUCAGCCUAAGAAAACGGGCUAAGUGAUCAACAAGUGGUGGUGGUGGGUUGUUGUUGUUGUUGUUCCCUUGAUUCUGAUUCUGGACUAGCAACUGCAUCAAUGUGUUCUGCUGCUGGAUCAACUGAGUGAGCUCCGGUGGAAAGGUAAAUUCGGGGUCACGUCUCGGAGGCAUCUGAGGGUUUAGAAAAGAUGAGAUUUAAGAAUAGAGGGGGUCUAAAGAGAAAACACUACCCAUAUGCACAUGAGGCAAAAGCAAACAAUUCACUUCAUUCAUUCAAUCAAACAAGGGCAUACAAUUGAUCUAACUAUCGCAAAAGUGCUCGGACUAUAAUAUUUACAUGGUGGACUACUACUACUGAUGAGGUGGUCUACUAGAAAUAUUCUUCGGUUGCAGACUCCAUGAUAUCUGCUCCAGCUUCAUCAACGUAGUCAUCAUCGCUAUCAUCCGGAUCCGAGUCGGUGUCGUCGAUGAUUAUGUAGUCUUCCGGGCGAAUCUCCUUGGAUUCUUCAUCUUCUUCUACCGGUGUAGGGCCUCCCAUAAAUAUUUCGAUCUUCAUUGUUAGGUCGGCAUUCUUAUCCACUAAUACUUCAAUUUCUUCUUCAUAAUAUUCACGAGUAGCCUUGAGUUCUUCCUCCAGUUCCUUGAUUCUUAUCUUUGCCUUCUUCAGGUCUAUCAUGUCGGCGCACAUCUGGUUCUCCUGACGUCUAAUGUGCUGGUUUAACUCCUGGAUGAAAGCUGCAAUUGAUCUAUCCUUCCUGGUGCUGAUCAUCUCCCAGUGCUCAUCUCGGCGCCCAUAAAUCUGGUAGAUAGUAUCUUUGAGAUCAUUGCGGUAGACUUCUCCAAUGCGUCCCAUGGCGAUGUGAGCUGCCAUGCUCUUUCCUAGAUUCCAAGUUGGUGCAUCAAAAGAAAACUCUAUGGGCUCAGUGACUGGCAUGAACGUCCUUCCUGGAACUUGAACUUGAAUCAUCCAGUGCUCUUCUUCAGGUAAUGUGGCAUUGUAGGUUCCGGUGAAGCUUGGCACUCCUAUGUUCAGGUAUCCACUGACUUCCUUCAAGUGACGUCCAAAGGGUGUGUCUUCAUCCGGUUGAGUGAACUUGUUCCUUGCAUCUGCCAUCCUAAAAGAGUAGAAAAGAUGAGGAGUCAGAAGAGAAGAGAGUGAGUAGUGAUCUAGGUCUUUAGCUUAGUGGUCAUGUCCUACAGUCAGCGUGUGCUCUGAUACCAUCUUGUAGCGACCAGACCUCAAACGGUCCAAUCUCUGUGCUCCGGUGUCAUCCCUGGAGUAGCAAUCACACACUUAUUACAUCGAGUGUCUCGAGAGAGAACUUAUUACAAUUGAUAUGGAUUAAGGCCAUCUAAUAACGAUAACAGCGGAAGGCUUGGAAGAUAAGUGAGUCCAUCAACUCCAACGGCAUCACUGGGUAUAGAACCACGACCUAAAACUCCUUAAUCGUCGUCUGAAAAGUCUGCAACAUUAACGUUGCAGCCCGAAAUGGGUCAGCACAUGGAAUAUGCUGGCAAUGUAACACAUAGAGAGUAAUGGAAUGAAACAGCUAUUCUACAUGCAUAUUUGGCUGGUGGAAAGCUCUAUGGUUACAGUUUUGCGUAAAGCCAAUUUUUCCUACUACAAAGGAAUAAAUUUAUUUAACUAUCAUGGUGGUUGUUAAACAUUGAGAAUGGUUGACAGCAUUCUCAAUCCCAAUUAAGCAUCAUCAUUAAACAAACCCGUCAGAAUUAAUUUAGAGUAACAUGUUGAGAUUCACAUGAUAAUCUAGGUACUAGAUACUCAAGAUGUCCAUAACCGGGGACACGGCUAACCAUGAUUAGUUUAUACACUCUGCAGAGGUUUGCACACUUUUACCCACAAUACUCGAUCGCCUCCGCUUGGUUUCUCGCACUACAAGGUGUUUGAGAAGACGGAUGACCGAGACAUAGUCUUUUAGAAGCGCUAGCACCUUACGAUGGGUAGACCGUACCACCUACAACCCCUACAUCUGCUAGUAUACCACUAUAAGAGUUCGCAUGACUUAGUCAACUAUGCUAGAGCCCAUAAUAGCUUGUGGCUGCACACGGAAGUUUCUAGCAUGAAAAAUCUCAUGAUCCCUUUGAGCCUGGGUGGCGAUCCAUAAAGAAAAACAGGCAAUCCUGGAAUACCCAGGUACCUCAAUCCACCCAAAUGUGUGUUUAAGUUGCCACCUUAAAUAAACCACUAAUUAACAAUCUCACAUAUGUCAUGGAUACACUCACCCAAUCCACGUCUACUAGCAUAGCAUGGCAUAAUAAGCAAACAUAGAAGUGACUCCCAAAGGUUUGACAGUACAUAGGUAAUAGGUACUACCUCAACUACUUCCCAAACCCACAAUUUAAUUAGAUCCUAAUCAUGCAAUGUGUAAGGAUUGAUCUAAUACAAUAAAACUGAGUAGUAGGAGGUAUGAUCAAAGUGUUACUUGCCUUGCUGAUGAUCCGGGAAACCUAGCGAUUCGAAGUAGCAAGCGGCGCACUCCGGGUACUCUAUCGCAAACAAACAAGCAUACAAUAAGUACUCAACUAAUGCACAGGUAAAACUCAAAUAAGAGAUCUAACCAGAAGGUUCAACUUAAGAACUCCGGUUGGCAAAAAGAAUCAAAUCGAACGAAGCAACGAAAGAUAAAACGACAAAAGAAACAAGCUUCGUUUACUAUUCUGGAUCUAGGGCAAUUUUUACAGUGGUAAAAACUUGUUUGAUUUGGUUAAACGGAAAGAGGGUUUCGAGACGAAACUCCAGGCGCUUGAAUCGCCUGAUUCCGAUAAACGAGCAAAAAGUUAAACUAAAACGAAAAUCGGAUCAGAAAUCGCCAUCAGAAAAAUCGCGAAUUUAAUCCAAGAAAAAGAAAAAUGACAAACAUUCGUUAAAACGAACGAACGGAUGAACACUCACUAAUUAAAUAAACCGAAAAACCGAUCUAUUUAAAAAAACCGAAACAAAAAAAUGAACAAAACCAUCGGAAAACCGAACGGUUUUUCUAAAAACACGGCGGCGGGAUCGAGGUAAACCUCGGGCGGCGGGUCCGGCGGCGACGGUGGCGGCGGCUCCGGCGGGCGGCGGCAGCGGGCGGCGGCGGGCGGCUCGACCGGCUUGGGGCGGCUAGGGUUUGGGGUGGGGUUCCGGCUGGGCCUCCCCGGCUUAUAAAGCCGGACGGGCCUCGUGUCCGGGUCAGACACGGCCCGUAGGUCGGUUGUGUUUUUUUAAAUAGUUAUGCUCAGAAAAAAAACAAAAGGACUACUAAACGGAUUCCAAAAAUCCAGAAAUAACCCCGGCUUCUAAAAUCAAGCCGCACAGGAUGAACAUUUAUUUGGGGCCUAAAUGCAAUUUUGAAAAACACGCAUUUUUCCUAAAUUCAAAUAAAAUAGCAAACAAAACCAAAUAAAAUCUUGUUUAAUUUUUUUAUUAAAUCCUCAAUAUUUCUUUAUUUUGGGAAAGUCAUUUUAUUCCCUCUAUCAUAUUUUGAUAUUAGAAAUAAUUGAAGAUAAAAUAAAUAAAAUCAAAUGGUCCUAUUUUCAAAAUUUGAGACAACUCAAAUAUGAAAAUAAUGAAAUCUCCAACUCUCUCCGAGGGUCCUUGAGUUGCAAAAAUUUCUAGGAUCAACCAAUAUGCAAUAAAUAUGAUAUGCAAUGAUGAUCUAGUGUAUAACAUUCCAAAUUGAAAAUUUGCGAUGUUACAUGAUGGAGGUAAUACCCUACGUCCUGCUUGAUUGUUCUUGAUGAUAUGAGUAUUACAAGAGUUGAUCUACCAUGAGAUCAAAGAGGUUAAACCCUAGAAGCUAGCCUAUGGUAUGAUUGCCUGUUGUCCUACGGACUAAAACUCUCCGGUUUAUAUAGACACCGGAGGGGGCUAGGGUUACACAAGGUCGGUUUCAAAGGAGGAGAUAUACAUAUCCGUAUUGCCUAGCUUGCCUUCCACGCCAAGUAGAGUCCCAUCCAGACACGGGACGAAGUCUUCAAUCUCGUAUCUUCAUAGUCCAACAGUCCGGCCGAAGGAUAUAGUCCGGCUGUCCGGAGGCCCCCUAAUCCAGGACUCCCUAAGUAGCCCCUAAACCAGGCUUCAAUGACGAUGAGUCCGGCGCGCAGUGUUGUCUUCGGCAUUGCAAGGCAGGUUCCUCCUCCGAAUACACGAUUGAAGAGUUUGAAUACAAGGAUAGUGUCCGACACUGCAAAAUAAGUUCCACAUACAACCGUAGAGAGAAUAAUAUUUCCACAAAUCUAAUAUGUUGACACGUUUUGAUAGCAUGACAUCACGCCAUGGUCCGGUUAUUAUUCGAACCGCUUUUCUCAACCAGCCCCGCACAUAUUGUGAGGCGGUUUUCUUGACACGUCUUGUCAAAGCAGAGAUCAUGUUCCCCUUAUCACGGGAUUCUCAUCAAUACGGACGUGGGUAACCCAACCGCGCCAUCAAUUACGACGCCUGGGGAAUAAGCAGUUUUUCCAGGCAAGUGGGGAGACACAUCGCCUCUUCCGCCCUUAUAAAGGGACAAAGAUUUACUUUUUUCACCCACGCCUUCUUCCUCCUCGCUUACCCAUUCCCGCACACUCGAGCUCUAGCGCCCAAGCUCGCGUUCUUCUUCUCAAACCACUCCAAGCAUGUCCGGAGCAGGAGGCAAGUGGAUGGUGACGGAGGAGAACAUCAAAAAGUUAUGGGAAGCCGGAUACCUGGCUGCGGAUAUCGGGCACUGGCUGCCAAAUGCGGGGCAGAUCGUCCCAACGCCCGAACCCCAUGAGAGGGUAUUUUUUCUUACCCAUUUUUUCCGUGGACUGGGAUUUCCCCUCCACCCAUUUGUCCGCGGGCUCAUGUUCUACUAUGGGCUGGAUUUUCAUGAUCUGGCCCCCAAUUUCAUCCUCAACAUCUCGGCGUUUAUUGUCGUGUGUGAGGCCUUCCUCCGCGUCAAGCCCCACUUCGGCCUAUGGCUGAAAACCUUCAAUGUUAAACCGAAGGUGGUGGGUGUCCAACAAGCAAAGUGCGGAGGCGCCAUGGUGGGCAAGAUGCCUAAUGUCACCUGGCUCGAGGGCACCUAUGUGGAUACCAUAAAGGGGUGGCAAUCGGGGUGGUUCUACAUCACUGAGCCGCGUGACUCCAACUAGGCGGCGGCCCCCAAAUUUCGAUCUGGAAUCCCCACGCGGCUCACUUCCUAGAAAGAGAAGGGCCUGUCCUGGGGUUCUUCGGUGGAGUUGACCGGAUUCCAGACCUGUAUCCGGAACAUGACGAGCAAGAAAAUCAAGCUCGUCAACGUGGUCCAGGUCAUGCUCUUCCGCCGGAUCCUCCCGUGUCAACGACGGGCAUUCGACCUGUGGAAGUUCGACUCGGCCAAGCACCAGACGCUGCGGGAGCUCUAUGACACGACACACGAGGAUGUCUGGAGGGUGCUGUUCAAGGGCGCCGAGAUUCCUCCUUCCCUCACCGAGGACUAUGGACUCAACGCAAAACGCCGCGCCAAUCCGGUAAGUUUUUAUAUCUUGCAGGGUAUUUAUUUGCCCCGGUUUAGUUAUAUGCAGGAUCUAAGCUUCUAUGCCUUUAACAGGACUAGAUAGAGACUGCGGAGCAGCUUGAUUGCCCAGCCCCCCCUGCCAGAAGAUCCUGCAGGAGCUCUCCUAACAGAGAUGCUGACCCCGGCACCUUACAAGGUGCCGGUGAAGAAGACCAAGAAGAAAGCCGCGGGGACCUGAAAGGGUCUCCGGCGCAAGGUUGUAUUGGACUCAUCGUCCGAUGACUCCGACGCACACUCCUCCCAUGAAGACGAGGAGGAGGAAGAGGAAAGUUCUCCCCCCCAGCCGGGGGAGACAACAAAAGGAAGGCCGUCCCAACCGGGGAGGCCGAAGGGUCCAAGAAGGGAAGGACCCUUCCUCCGGACUGCGCCACGACGGCCGCCGACUGCAGCGACGAGUGGCUGCCCAGGGUCAAGCCCCUGGCAAAAUCGUAAGUGUCCGGGCACCAUAGCACUUCGUGGUAUGUUUUAUUACACUGCCUCUCCUCAUGCCGAACAUGAUUAUGCAGUCCGUCCCGAGCUCAUCGCGACAUACACUCGUCGAGUGGCUCUUUGGACUCGUCGGAUAUGAAGAACGGUUCUCUCUCGACCGCUACCACCCCUCGCCCUAUGGACAAUGAUGAGGUGUUGUCUCAAAAGGCAUCGAGGCAAGGGGAGGUGGUUCUGGGGGCGCCUCGAGGCGACUUCUCGGACCCUGGGUACCAAGGGAGCGAGGUCCCUACGGGCUCCGAGUUCGGCCCCCAGCCGGACACUGCGCCAGAACCUUCGAUGGUUCCGGACUCCGACAGGCGGUCCCCCGUUAAGGGGGGCCAACCAUCCGUGUCGGUGUCCUCUGUCCAACCAGAGGCACCGGACAACUUGCUGGAAGCGCUUCACAACACUUCCAUCGAUGAAGAGCACCGCACUAUUAUGAGUGCGGUGGUCGAGAAGGUUCAGUCCACCAAAAACAGACUGACCGAAGCUUGCGCCAGCCUCCUAACAGGCUUUGAGGUAAGCAAUCAAAAUAUAAGAAAAUAUUACCACAUAGAUAGUAGCCCCUGAUGCUCUAUUUGGCGUUCGCGAGGAAAAGCCGAAUAGAGGAUCAGAUGAUAACUCAGGAGUCUAAUUAGAGUAUGUCUAUGUGUAUGUUCAGGCUUCACUGCUGGCCGCUGCCGCACGUACUGCGGAGGUCUCUGCGCUGAAGCAGGACCUGAAGCGGUCCGAGGACGAGCUCGGCCUUACCGAGAGGCAGCUCGAAGAGAGCAAAGGUAAGAAAUACCCAUGUCUAUAUAGUUAAAAAUAAGUUCGGGAGUAAAGUGAUAGGAUCAUCAUGGAUUUGUUAGGGGCCACGACCGAGGUGGAGACCCUGAGGAAGGCGUUGUCCAAGGCCGAAGACAAAGCGGCCAAAGAACGCAUUGAACGGGAGAAAUAGGAAGCCCGAGUAGGUGAGGUGCAGCAAGAGCUCGAGGCUCUCGCCAAAAAGCACGAGUCCUUGGAGCUUGACUCCAAGAUGCGAGAGUCCGAUCUUGCGAAGGCGCAUGAAAGCAUCCGGAGCGCCAAGGCCGAAGCCCACAAGGCCCCCCAGGAGACUGACGCGGUGAAGAAGAUAGCAGCGGGUAAGGCAUUCAUUAUGCAAAGCAAGCACAUGAAGGAGACUUUCCUUUUUCUUACCCGAGUUCGGAGCUCUCCAGGAGCGUUUGCAGAUCUUCCCCGCAGUGUACUGGAUGCCGCGGAGUUUUACCGGGCUGAGGAGGGGAGCUCAACGGAGAAGUUGUUCUAGUCUCAGUAUAUUGGGACCGAACACCCCGUGCCCUUGAGCAACCAGCUGAAGCAGUUGGUCGAACUUCACAAGGCGGUCGAACAGGCCAUGAGGGCCUUAUAGUCCGGAUGUGGCCUGACGAGCCCCUGCCCGGCAGCUACUUCGGUCUGGUGAGGCGGCUUGUGGAAGCCUGCCCACGACUUGAAGUCAUCAAGCGGCCCGUCUGCAUCGAAGGUGCACGCAGGGCUUUUGUCCGGGCGAAGAUGCACUGGGCGAAGCUAGACGCCGUGAAGCUGGUGAUGGAGGGGCCACCGGAGGGCAAGGAGCAUCGCUGCCCCGAGAAUUACUAUGAGAGUGUCCUAAAGGGUUCCCGCUUAGUGGCAGAUGAGUGUGCCAAGGAUGUAAUUUUUGAAUGAACAUGCUCAUGUGAUCCUGUAAUAUGAAACGAGUUCGUUUGCGCCAUGCGACGCUUUCUUAAUUUAAAAUAUUACCUUCUAUGCGGCCGUUUAUAAAAUCUGAGAGUUGGCCAGUCGUCGGCUUUUAUCCCCAUGUAACUAGUACUGGGGUGUUCGGGAUAAACCUGAACACUCUUUACCCCAAUUUUGGGUCCUUCAAGGGAGGUGUUCAGCGCAAGGAACCAGGCAAUCGGACUAUAAUGCUUUAUCACUCUCACUUAGCCAUAGAAGUCUAUGAUUUUAAAUUUUUGGUGAAGCCCCUGGUAUUCGGAGGGCCGAAUUUGGGGUGCUAUACACGCCUAAGCCGGACAAGGCCGACUCCUCACCCGAAGCGGAAAAGGUCUUUAAGGACUUGAGACCUCUCGAACAGCGACCAGUCUCUCGCCUUAUCAUGACAGUCAGUUUUUGGCUUUCUCUACUGAGGUGCUCAUCCGGAAGAACCGGGACACAAUCGCAGUAGUUCUCCCACCGCUACCUUAGCCGAUAUAGCGGAACGUAAGGUACCAAAGCAUGGGAGCCGGGCAACCCAACAUUUGACCAAAGACAUGAUUCGGAGCUGAUGCAUAUAAUGCUAUAAGUUCAGGGUGUCGCACUGUCGAAAGUUUUCAGACUUCUUGCGUCGUAUUAUGGGAUAAACGAGGACCCCUGGCGAACUGACCGUACCCGCACGUGCGGGUGCGGAUUGUCGUAAAUGGACAUAUAAGAGAAAGAGAAAAACUUAAAUAAUGCAAUGACAGAUUAAUGAUAUGCAUUGCUAUUUAAAUGAUACGUCGAAGCGUACUUGGUACAAGUAGUGCAAUAAGCAAAAAUUAGCACAAUUCGAAAUGUCCUAUCCCAAGACAAGCUAUGCAUAAAUAGUGAAAAGCGGGUAUAUCAAUUAUUACUAGAGACCAAGUGGCGGUUCCCAUGUUCAUCUUAGCUUCUUGGCGCCUUGGUUGUUGCUUCCGGAAUGUGUCCGACAAUCGUACUGCCGGAAAGGGCUUCCAAAGAGUUAGGCCCUGAAAGAGAAAAGGAAUGUCAAAGGUAUACAGCCCCUAGUGUGAUUAAGCCACAAUGCGGGGUGUGUCCUGAUCGUGCCCUCGCCUAUGUCCAUGGUAUUUUCAAUGCGUAGUUACAUACGCGCGGCAUGGAUUUCGUUGCUUCACUAGGACUGGACGGGGGCCGAAUUGCUAGGCGAGCUCUGAUCGUGCCAGGCGAUCCUGUUGCAGCUUGUUCUGGACUUGCUUGAAGGUGUCCGGGGACCGUGAUGCCGAAUGAGUGGUCUGCCUGAACAUGCUGGUUUGUGCUUCUGCUGCAAGGGCCGCAGUGUGCUCUUCCGUACGGAGUGAGCAUUCUGUGUUUCCACUUACUGUUAUGACCCCGCAAGGUCCUAGCAUCUUGAGCUUGAGGUAUGCGUAAUGCGGCGCUGCAUUGAAUUUUGCAAUGAUGUCCGUCCGAGCAGUGCAUGAUAGCUGCUGCGAAACAGGACGAUGUCAAAGAUUAACUCUUCACUUCGGAAGUUAUCCGGUGAUCCGAAGACCACUUCCAGUGUGAUUGAUCCUGUGCAAUGGGCCUCUAUACCUGGGACGACUCCUUUAAAGGUGGUUUUGCUGGGUUUGAUCCUCGAGGGAUCGAUACCCAUUUUUCGCACUGUAUCCUAAUAAAGCAGGUUCAGGCUACUGCCGCCGUCCAUAAGGACUCGAGUGAGGUGAAAUAUGUCAAUGAUGGGGUCUAGGACCAGUGCGGCGGAUCCGCCAUGACGGAUGCUAGUGGGGUGGUCCCUACGAUCGAAGGUGAUCGGGCAAGCAGACCAUGGGUUGAACUUUGGGGCGACGGGCUCCAUCGCAUAGACGUCCCUUAGUGCACACUUCCGCUCCCUCUUGGGAAUGUGGGUUGCGUAUAUCAUGUUCACCGUCUUCACUUGUGGGGGAAACCGCUUUUGUCCUCCUGUGUUCGGCAGCCGGGGCUCCUCCUCGUCAUUGCUAUGCAGCCCCUUGUCCUUGUUCUCGGCAUUUAACUUGCCAGCAUGCUUGAAAACCCAGCAUUCUCUAUUGGUGUGAUUGGCUGGCUUGUCGGGGGUGCCGUGGAUUUGACACGAGCGAUCCAGUAUGCGAUCCAGACUGGACGGAGCCGGAGUAUUUCUUUUAAAUGGCUUUUUCCGCUGACCGGAUCUAGAGCCUCUGAAUCCGGCAUUGACUGCCGUAUCUUCGGUGUUAUCGCUGUUAUUGCGGUGUUUUAGUCUGUUAUGACGCUACCUACCGUUAACAUCUUUGGUAUCUGAGGUAUCCGGAUUCCUCGAUGUGUUGUUGCUGCGAGCCAGCCAGCUGUCCUCGCCCGCGCAAAAGCGGGUCAUGAGUGUUGUGAGGGCUGUCAUGGACUUCGGCUUCUCCUGGCCGAGGUGGCGGGCGAGCCACUCGUCGCGGAUGUUAUGCUUGAAUGCCGCUAGGGCCUCUGCAUCCGGACAGUCUACAAUUUGGUUUUUCUUAGUCAGGAACCGUGUUCAGAAUUGUCUGGCCGAUUCCCCUGGCUGCUGGGUUAUGUGGCUCAAGUCAUCAGCAUCCGGUGGCCGCACAUAAGUGCCCUGGAAGUUGUCAAGGAAUGCAUCUUCCAGAUCCUCCCAACUGCCGACCGAAUCCGCUGGCAAGCUGUUCAGCCAAUGCCGAGCUGGCCCUUUGAGUUUUAGUGGGAGGUAGUUGAUGGCAUGUAGAUCAUCACCGCGAGCCAUGUGGAUGUGAAGGAGGAAAUCCUCAAUCCAUACAGCGGGAUCUGUUGUGCCAUCGUAUGAUUCGAUAUUUACGGGUUUGAAACCCUCCGGGAAUUCAUGAUUCAUAACUUCAUCAGUGAAACAUAGGGGCUGUGCGGCGCCUCUAUGCCGGGCUAUAUCCCGACGCAGUUCGUAUGAGUCUUGUCUGCUGUAUUCGGCCCGGCCGGAUUUACUCUUGGUGUAUCCGACGCGACGAUCAUCGUCCCGUGUUGGCGCGCGUGCUCGUGUCCCGUAUAUUGACCUUGCGAUUUUUGCCUUACUGUCCAAUAUGUCUCGCAGGUCCUCUGUGUAACCCCUGGCCUUAUUAUUUUUGAUUGAGUGGCGACGGGGUGCGGGCUGAACUUCAGACUGAAAUGCCUCUCUGGCUCGGCCGCGUAGUGGCCGGUCAGCCGCAUCGUACACUGGUGAAUGCGGUUUCAAUGCUUCCUCCUCGAGGUGAGGUAGCAACCUGCAUUUUGGGUAACUCUUGGACGGGCGCUCGAGUUCAUGCUCCUCGGCCGCAAGGACUUCGGUCCACCUAUCUGCUAGCAAGUCUUGAUCAGCUUGAAGCUAUUGCUGCUUUUUCUUCAGGCUAUUUGCCGUGGCCAUAAGCCGGCGCUUGAAGCGCUCUUGCUCGACGGGGUCCUCAGGCACGAUAAACUCGUCGUCGCCGAGGCUCGCCUCGUCUUCGGAGAGAGGCAUGUAAUUGUCCUCCUCCGGUUCUCCAUCUGCUGCCUGCUCUAGAGGACUAGCUUGUUCAUCUUCCAGCUCUACAUCGUGCUGGAGGGGAUUGUUGUUGUCUUCGGCGCUAUCCGAACUGUUAUUAUCUCCUGUGCUAGUAUCACUGCUCUUGCUGUGGCGGGACUUAGAGCGGUGCCGCUGACGUUGGCGCUUGGGUUGUUUCUUGGAGGGGUCAUCCUCCGUUGUCUCGUCGUCAUUGCCUUCUUUGGGGGUGUCCACCAUGUAUAUAUCAUAUGAUGAGGUGGCGGUCCAGCGCCCUGAGGGCGGUGGUUCCUGUUCGUCUCCUGCAUCGUCGUCCAUACCGUUGAUGUCUUCGGAGUUGAAGUCGAGCAUGUCUGUUAAGUCAUCGAUAGUGGCUACUAAGUGGGUGGUGGGUGGGCAGCGAAUUUCUUCGUCGUCCGCAUUCCAUUCUAGACGGACAUAGUUCGGCCAAGGUUCUCCUGACAGGGAGAGAGACCUUAAUGAAUUUAGCACAUCUCCGAAAGGUGAGUGCUGAAAGAUAUCCGCGGAGAUGAACUCCAUGAUCGGCGCCCAGUCGGAUUCGAUAGGCACGGAUGUAGGCGGCUCAGAGUCCGUGGCCCGGGUCAAAUCCAGUGGUUCGGCGACACGGCUCUCAAAAGGGGUGAAGUCAGUAUAUAGCUCUAUCGCUGCUGAGAGUGCGGCCUCCAUGGCGGGGUCUAUCCCCCUGCUCUCGGAUGGCGCGAUUUGCUCCGGAUUAACGGUCAGAGUAGCUGCGGAUGCGAUCUCCCGAACACUGUCCAACGGCAGAGUUACGUCUUGCUCGUCGCGACUGUGCGGCGCGUCCGGCAUGGGCUCGAAUCCGUCGAAGAUCAAGUCUCCGCGGAUGUCGGCCGUGUAGUUCAAGUUUCCAAAUCUGACCUGAUGGCCAGGGGCGUAGCUCUCGAUCUGCUCCAAAUGGCCAAGCGAAUUGGCCCGCAGUGCGAAGCCGCCGAAUACGAAGAUCUGUCCGGGGAGGAAAGCCUCACCCUGGACCGCAUCGCUAGCGAUGAUCGAAGGGGCCAUCAAGCCUUAAGAUGACGACACAGUGGAACUCUCAAUGAAAGCACCAAUGUCAGUGUCAAAACCGGCGGAUCUCGGGUAGGGGGUCCCGAACUGUGCGUCUAAGGCGGAUGGUAACAGGAGGCAGGGGACACGAUGUUUACCCAGGUUCGGGCCCUCUUGAUGGAGGUAAUACCCUACGUCCUACUUGAUUGUUCUUGAUGAUAUGAGUAUUACAAGAGUUGAUCUACCACGAGAUCAAAGAGGUUAAACCCUAGAAGCUAGCCUAUGGUAUGAUUGUCUGUUGUCCUACGGACUAAAACCCUCCGGUUUAUAUAGACACCGGAGGGGGCUAGGGUUACACAUGGUCGGUUACAAAGGAGGAGAUAUACAUAUCUGUAUUGCGUAGCUUGCCUUCCACGCCAAGUAGAGUCUCAUCCGGACACGGGACGAAGUCUUCAAUCUCGUAUCUUCAUAGUCCAACAGUCCGGCCAAAGGAUAUAGUCCGGCUGUCCGGAGACCCGAUAAUCCAGGACUCCCUAGGUUGCUCCACUAUACAUAUCCAGUUUGCUACCCAGAGUCAUCUGGAUAGGUGUUAAAUCUUGCAUCGACGUAACCCUUUACACCUAACUCUUCAUCACCUCCAUAAUCGAGAAACAUUUCCUUAUUCAUAAGGACAAUUUUUGACCGCUGUCCAAUGAUCCACUCCUGGAUCACUCUUAUACCCCUUGCCAGACACGUGGCAAGGCACAUCGCAAUACACAGCAUGGCAUAUCGUAUAGAGCCUAUGGCUAAUGCAUAGGGAACGACUUUCGUCCUUUCUCUUUCUUCUGCCGUGGUCGAGCUUCAAGUCAUAACUUCACACCAUACUACUCAGGCAAGAACUCCUUCUUUGACUGAUCCAUCUUGAACUCCUUCAAGAUCAUGUCAAGGUAUUUGCUCUGUGAAAGUCUUAUCAGGUGUCUUGAUCUAUCUCUGUAGAUCUUGAUACCCAACAUGUAAGCAGUUUUACACAGGUCUUCCUUUGAAAAACUCCAUUCAAACAACCCUUUAUGCUUUCCAGAAAUUCUACAUCAUUUUCGAUCAACAAUAUGUCAUCCACUUAUACUUACCAAAAUGUUGUAGUGUUCCCACUCACUUUCUUGCAAAUACAAGUUUCUUGCAAACUUUGUAUAAACCCAAAUGCUUUGAUCACCUCAUCAAUGCGUAUGUUCCAACUCCGAGAUGCUUGCUCCAGUCCUUAGAAGGAUCGCUGGAGUUUGCAUACCUUUUUGCAUCCUUAGGAUCGACAAAACCUUCUAGUUGUAUCACAUACAUCCUUUCUCUCACGGAAACCAUCAAGGAAACUUUGUUUUGACAUCCAUCUGCCAGAUUUCGUAAAUUAAAAUGCAGCAACUGCUAACAUAAUUCUAACAGACUUUAGCAUCGCUAUGAUUGAGAAAGUCUCAUCACGGUCAACUCCUUGAACUUGUCGGAAACUUCUUUGAGACAAGUCGAGAUCCAUAAAUGGUGACAAUACCAUCAGUGUUUGUGUUCUUCUUAAAGAUCCAUUUAUUCUCAAUGGCUUGCCGAUCAUCGGGCAAGCCCACCAAAGUCCAUACUUUGUUCUCAUACAUGGAUCCUAUCUCGAAUUUCAUGGCUUCCAGCCAUUUGUUGGAAUCCGGCCCACCAUCGCUUCUUCAUAGCUCAUAGGUUCAUCGUUGUCCAACAACAUGACCUUUAAUACAGGGUUACCACUCGGAAGUUGUACACACCCUACGAGGUUUGAUAGUAAUUUGAUUUGAAGCUUCAUGAUCAUCAUCAUUAGCUUUCUCUUCAACUGACGUAAGUGCCACAGAAACAUCUUUCUGUGAUGCGCUACUCUCUGGUUGAAGUGAAGGUUCAACAACCUCAUCAAGUUCUAUCUUCCUCCCACUCAAUUCUUUCGAGAGAAACUCUUUCUCGAGAAAGGACAUGUUCCUAGCGACAAACACUUUGCCCUUAGAUCUGAGAUAGAAGGUAUACACAAGACGUCUUGUUUGGGUAUUCUAUGAAGACACAAUUUCCCGCUUUGGGUUCGAGCUUUUAUGGCUGAAGCCUAUCGACAUAAGCAUCGUAGACCCAAACCUUAAGAAACAACAACUUAGGUUUCUUGUCAAACCAUAGUUCAUAUGGUGUCGUCUCCAUGGACUUAGAUGGUGCCCUAUUUAAAGUGAAUGUAAUUGUCUCUAAUGCAUAACCGCAAAAUGAUAGCGGUAGAUCGGUAAGAGACAUCAUAGAUCGCACCAUAUCCAAUAGGGUGUGAUUACGGCGUUUGGACACACCAUUACGCUAUGGUGUUCCAUGUGGCGUCAACUGUGAAACGAUUCCACCUUGUCUUUAGUGAUUUCCAAACUCAUAACUCAGAUACUCUCCCUUUGAUCAGAUCGUAGGAACUUGAUCUUCUUGUUCUGAUGAUUCUCAACUUGACUCUGAAAUUUCUUGAACUUUUCAAACAUUUCAGACUUAUGCUUCAUUAAGUAAAUAUACCCAUAUCUACUCAAUUCAUCGGUGAAGGUGAGAAAAUAAUGAUAUCCACCACGUGCGUCAACACUCAUCGGACCGCACACAUCAGCAUGUGUGAUUUCCAACAAGUCACUUGCCCGUUCCAUUGUUCUAGAAAACUGGGUUUUAGUCAUCUUGCCUAUGAGGCAUGGUUCACAUGUGUCAGGUGAUUCAAAAUCAAGUGACUCCAAAAGUCCAUUAGUAUGGAGGUUCUUCAUGCGCUUUACACCAAUAUGACCUAAGCGACAGUGCCACAAGAAAGUGGUACUAUCAUUAUCAACUCUACAUCUUUUGGCAUCAAUGUUAGGACCAUGUGUAUCACUACGACCGAGAUUCAAUAAACCAUUCACAUUGGGUGUAUGACCAUAGAAGGUAUUAUUCAUGUAAACAGAAUAACCAUUAUUCUCUGACUUAAAUGAAUAACCGUAUUGCAAUAAACAUGAUCUAAUCAUGUUCACGCUCAACGCAGACACCAAUACAAACAACAUUUAACUGGGUUCAACACUAAUGCCGAAGGUAGAGGGAGCGUGUGAUGGUGAUCAUAUCAUCCUUGGAAACACUUCCAACACACAUCGUCACCUCGCCCUUAGCUAGUCUCCGUUUAUUCCGUAGCUUUUGUUUCGAGUUACCAAUAUUAGCAACUGAACUGGUAUCUAAUACCCAUGUGCUACUAGGAGUACUAGUAAGGUACACAUCAAUAACACAUAUAUCAAAUAUACUUUUGUUGAAGUUGCCAGCCUUCUUAUCUACCAAGUAUUUGAGGCAGUUCCGCUACCAGUGACCGUUCCCCUAAUAGAAGCACUUCGUCUCGGGUUUGGGUUCUUGGGUUUCUUCACUGGAGCGGCAACUGGCUUGCCAUUCAUGAAGUUUCCCUUCUUGCCCUUGCCCUUCUUUGAAACCAGUGGUCUUGUUAACCAUCAACACUUGAUGCUCCUUCUUGGUCUCUACCUUUACGGCCUUAAGCACGGCGAACAGCUACGGGAUCAUCUUACCUUGCAUGUUAUAGUUCAUCACGAAACUCUAUCAUCUUGGUGAUAGUGACUGGAGAACUUUUGUCAAUCACUCUCUUAUCUGGAAGAUUAACUCCCACUUGACUCAAGUGAUUGAAGUACCCAGACAUUCUGAGCACAUGCUCACUAGCUGAGCUAUUCUCCUCCAUCUUGUAGUCAAAGAUCUUGUUAGAGGUCUCAAACCUCUCAACACGGGCAUGAGCCUUAAAUACCAAUUUCAUCUCUUGGAACAUCUCAUAUGUUCCAUGGCGUUCAAAACGCUUUUGGAGCCCCGACUCUAAGCCAUAAAGCAUGGCGCAAUAAACUAUCAGGUAGUCAUUGGAAUGUGUCUGCCAGAUGUUCACAACAUCCACAGACGAUGCCAGAGGGGUUGGCACACCGAGCGGUGCAUCAAGGACAAAAGCCUUCUGUGUAGCAGUGAGGACAAUCCUGAGACUAUGGCCCUAGUCCGCGCAAUUGCUUACAAUAUCUUUCAACUCAGUCUUUCUCUAGGAGUAAAACAAGGAGCUAAAGCACGAGCUAUUAAUCCACAACAUAAUUUGCAAAGACAGUUUAGAGUAUGUUCAUGAUAAUUAAGUUCAUAUAAUCAAAUUAUUUAAUGAACUCCCACUUGGAUAGACAUCCCUCUAGUCAUCUAAGUAAUACAUGAUCCGAAUCGACUAGGACAUGUCCGAUCAUCAUGUGAGACGGACUAGUCAUCAACAGUGAACUUCUCCAUGUUGAUCGUAUCUACUAUAUGACUCAUGUUCAACCUUUUGGUCUCUUAUGUUCUGAGGCCAUGUCUGUACAUGCUAGGCUUGUCAAGUCAACCUAAGUGUUUCGCAUGUGUAAAUCUGGCUUACACCCGUUGUAUGCGAACGUUUGAAUCUAUCACACCCGAUCAUCACGUGGUGCUUCGAAACAAUGAACCUUCGCAAUGGUGCACAGUUAGGGGGAACACAUUUCUUGAAAUUUUUUAGUGAGGGAUCAUCUUAUUUAUGCUACCGUCGUUCUAAGCAAAUAAGAUGUAACCAUGACAAACAUCACAUGCAAAUCAUAAAGUGACAUGAUAUGGCCAAUAUCAUCUUGCGCCUUUGAUCUCCAUCUUCAAGGCGCGGCAUGAUCACCUUUGUCACCGGCACGACACCAUGAUCUCCAUCAUCGUGUCUUCAUGAAGUUGUCUCGCCAACUAUUACUUCUACUACUAUAGCUAACAGUUAGCAAUGAAGUAAAGUAAUUACAUGGCGUUUUUCAUUGACACGUAGGUCAUACAAUAAAUUAACACAACUCCUAUGGCUCAUGCUGGUUUUCAUACUCAUCAUGAUUCCUAUUACAAGAACAUGAUGAAUAUCAUACAUCACAUAUAUAUAAUUCAUCACAUCCUUUUGGCCAUAUCACAUCACAUAGCAUACCCUGCAAAAACAAGUUAGAAGUCCUCUAAUUGUUGUUGCAUGUUUUACAAGGCUAUUAUGGGUUUCUAGCAAGAACGUUUCUUACCUACGCAAAAUCCACAAUGGUGAUAUGCCAAUUGCUAUUUACCCUUCAUAAGGACCCUCUUCAUCGAAUCCGAUCCGACUAAAGUGGGAGAGACAGACACCCGCUACCCACCUUAUGCAUCAAGUGCAUGUCUGUUUGUGGAACCAGUCUCACGUAAGAGUACGUGUGAGGUCGGUCCGGGCCUCUUCAUCCCACAAUGCCACCGAAUCAAGACAAGACUAUUAACGGCAAGCAAAUUGACCAAAUCAUCGCCCACAACUACUUUGUGCUCUACUCGUGCAUAGAAUCCAUAGACCUAGCUCAUGAUGCCACUGUUGGGGAACGUAGUAAUAAUUCAAAAUUUCCCUAAAUGUCACCAAGAUCAAUCUAGGAGAUGCUAACAACAAGAGAGAGGGAGUGCAUCUUCAUACCCUCGAAGAUCGCUAAGUGGAAGCGUUACAAGAACGCGGUUGAUGGAGUCGUACUUGCGGCGAUUCAAAUCGCGGAAGAUCCGAUCCAAGCACCAAACGGAAGGCGCCUCCGUGUUCAACACACGUACAUCCCGGGCCUCCUUCUUGAUCCAGCAAGGGGAGAGGAGAAGUUGAGGGAUAACUCCGGUAGCACAAUGGUGUGGUGGUGGUGGAUCUCGUGGUUCUCCGGCAGAGCUUUGCUAAGCACUACGGAGGAGGAGGAGGAGUUGGAGGAGGGGAGGGCUGCGCUAGGGAAGGGGGUGCGGCUGCCCUCUCUCUCCCUCACUAUAUAUAGGGGAAGGGGGAGGAGGUGACGCCCUAGGGUUUCCCUAGGGGAGGGGCGGCGGCCACAGGGGAAACCCUAGAUGGGUUUGGGUGCCCCCACUCCUAGGAAACUUGCCCCCAAGCCGGGAGGGGCGGCUGCCCUAGGGGAGGUGCCCCCACCUACCAGGUUACGUGAGAGGGGGUGGGAGGGGCGCACAGCCCCUUAGUGGUCUGGUGUUCCCCUCCCCUUGGCUCAUAAGCCCCCCUCCCAACGCUUGUCGGGGCCUCCGAAACACCUUUGGGUCACGCUGGUCGUCACCCGGUACUCCCAGAACAAUUUUGGACUCCAAUACCCUUCGUCCAAUAUAUCAAUCUUCACCUCCAGACCAUUCUGGAGUUCCUCAUCACAUCUGGGAUCUCAUCCGGGACUCCAAACAACCUUCGGUAACCACAUACUAUUUCCCAUAACAACUCUAGCAUCACCGAACCUUAAGUGUGUAGACCCUACGGGUUCGGGAACCAUGCAAACAUGACCGAGACACCUCUCCAGCCAAUAACCAAUAGCGGGAUCUGGAUAACCAUAUUGGCUCCCACAUGUUCCACGAUGAUCUCAUCGGAUGAACCACGAUGUCGGGGAUUCAAUCAAUCCCGUAUACAAUUCCCUUUGUCCAUCGGUAUGUUACUUGCCCGAGAUUCGAUCGUUGGUAUCCCCAUACCUCGUUCAAUGUUGUUACCGACAAGUCUCUUUACUCAUUCCGUAACGCAUGAUCCCGUGGCUAACUCCUUAGUCACAUUGAGUUCAUUUUGAUGAUGCAUUACCGAGUGGGCCCAAAGAUACCUCUCCGUCAUACGGAGUGACAAAUCCCAGUCUCGAUUCAUGCCAACCCAACAAACACUUUUGGAGAUACCUGUAGUGCACCAUUAUAGCCACCCAGUUACAUUGUGACGUUUGAUACACCCAAAGCAUUCCUACGUGGAAGUGCAACUAAACUUGGGUGGUUUUGGUAAUUCCUAACAACAUAUAGCUCAUUGAGCUAAUGCUACUUGAAGAUAAAUAUUUCAGGAAAAGCUCAAUGAUUGGCAUGGCAUGGAUUAGAAAGUGGACCCCUCAAAAUGCUUAGGACAAAAGAUUGGCUCAAGCUCAAAGCACAAGACUUUACAUUUUACUUUUAGUGAUCCAAGAUCACAUUGAGUCCAUAGGAAAAGCCAAUACUAUUAAAAGGGGGUGAGGUGUUGCUUAAUGAGUUGCUUGCUCAAAAUGCUUAGUGAUAUGCUCCAAAAACCCUCAACUACUUUCUCAUAUCCACAUAUGUCCCAAACCAAAAUUCAGACUUGGCCCCACCAAAAUCUUAUAUCCGGCGCCACCGAGUUCACUUGACAUAGCUACUGCUAGAAACCCUAGUCACUUCGGUCUCACCGAUAGGGUUCUCGGUCUCACCGAGAUGGGAUUGCAAACUCUCUGUUUCCCUUUGUAACAUUUCAGUCCAACUGAGAUGAGCGAUCGUUCCCACCGAGAUUGCAAUGCAAACUUCUUUUUCCCCUUCGUAACGUUUCAGUCUAACCGAGAUCAGCGAAUCGGUCCCACCGAGUUUGCCUGACCAACUCUCUGUUUGCCUAUUACCAAAAUUGGUCCCACCGAGUUUGUGUAAUCGGUCUCACCGAGAUUAUGUUAUGACCUAACCCAAAUGGAAUCGGUCCCACUGAGUUGACAUAUCGGUCCAACCGAAAAUCCUAAUGUUCACAUUUUGAACUAAAUCGGUCUGACCGAGAUAUAUGAUUCGGUCCCACCGAGUUUGGUGAUUUGUGUGUAAUAGUUAGAUUUUGUGUGGAGGCUAUAUAUACCUCUCCACCCACUCUUCAUUCAUGGAGAGAGCCAUCAAAAUAUUCCUACACUUCCAACAUAUAUUUUCUGAGAGACAACCACCUACACUUGUGUUGAGGUCAAGAUAUUCCAAUCCAACCACAUAAAUCUUGAUCUCUAGCCUUCCUCAAGUUGCUUUCCACUCAAAUCAUCUUUCUACCAAAUCAAAUCCUAUGAGAGAGAGUUGAGUGUUGAGGAGACUAUCACUUGAAGCACAAGAGCAAGGAGUUCAUCAUCAACACACCAUUUAUUACCUUUUGGAGAGUGGUGUCUCCUAGAUUGAUUAGGUGUCACUUGGGAUCCUCUGAUACGUCUCCAACGUAUCUAUAAUUUUUGAUUGCUCCAUGCUAUAUUAUCUUAUGUUUUGGAUGUUUAUGGGCUUUAUUAUACACUUUUAUAUCAUUUUUGGGACUAACCUAUUAACCUAGAGCCCAGUGCCAGUUUCUAUUUUUACCUUGUUUUAGGGUUUCGAAGAAAAGGAAAAUCAAACGGAGUCCAAUUGACCUGAAACUUCACGGAACUCAUUUUUGGAAGGAAAGAAGCCCAGAAGACUUGAAGUGCAUGUAAGGGAAGCUUCGAGGAGGCCACGAGGUAGGGGGCGUGCCCUCCACCCUCGUGGGCCCCUCGUGGCCCCCUGACGUACUUCUUCCACCUAUAUAUCUCCAUAUACCCUAAAAACAUCCGGGAGCACAAUAGAUCGGGAGUUCCGCCGCCAGAAGCCUCCGUAGCCACCAAAAGCCAAUCUAGACCCGUUUCGGCACCCUGUCGGAGGGGGAAUCCCUCUCCGGUGGCCAUCUUCAUCAUCCCAGUGCUCUCCAUGACGAGGAGGGAGUAGUUCUCCCUCGGGGCUGAGGGUAUGUACCAGUAGCUAUGUGUUUGAUCUCUCUCUCUCUCUCGUGUUCUUGAGGUGAUAUGAUCUUGAUGUAUCGCGAGCUUUGCUAUUAUAGUUGGAUCUUAUGAUGUUUUCUCCCCCCUCUACUCUCUUGUAAUGGAUUGAGUUUCCCCUUUGAAGUUAUCUUAUCAGAUUGAGUCUUUAAAGAUUUGAGAACACUUGAUGUAUAUCUUGUCGUGCGUAUCUGUGGUGACCAUGGGAUACCACGUGAUUCACUUGAUGUAUGUUUUGGUGAUCAACUUGCGGGUUCCGCCCAUGAACCUAUGCAUAGGGGUUGGCACAUGUUUUCGUCAUGAUUCUCCGCUAGGAAGUUUGGGGCACUCUUUCAGGUUCUAUGUGUUGGUUGAAUAGAUGAAUCUGAGAUUGUGUGAUGCAUAUCGUAUAAUCAUACCCACGGAUACUUGAGGUGACAUUGGAGUAUCUAGGUGACAUUAGGGUUUUGGUUGAUUUGUGUCUUAAGGUGUUAUUCUAGUACGAACUCUAGGGUUGUUUGUGACACUUAUAGGAAUAGCCCAACAGAUUGAUUGGAAAGAAUAACUUUGAUGUGGUUUCGUACCCUACCAUAAUCUCUUCGUUCGUUCUCCGCUAUUAGUGGCUUUGGAGUGACUCUUUGUUGCAUGUUGAGGGAUAGUUAUGUGAUCCAAUUAUGUUAUUAUUGUUGAGAGGACCUGCACUAGUGAAAGUAUGAACCCUGGGCCUUGUUUCCUAUCAUUGCAAUACAAUUUACGCUCACUUUUAUCAUUAGUUACCUUGCUGUUUUUAUAUUUUCAGAUUAUAAAAACUGUUAUUUACCAUCCAUAUACCACUUGUAUCACCAUCUCUUCGCCGAACUAGUGCACCUAUACAAUUUACCAUUGUAUUGGGUGUGUUGGGGACACAAGAGACUCUUUGUUAUUUGGUUGCAGGGUUGCUUGAGAGAGACCAUCUUCAUCCUACGCCUCCUACGGAUUGAUAAACCUUAGGUCAUCCACUUGAGGGAAAUUUGCUACUGUCCUACAAACCUCUACACUUGGAGGCCCAACAACGUCUACAAGGAGAAGGUUGUGUAGUAGACAUCAAGCUCUUUUCUGGCGCUAUUGCCGGGGAGGUUGGCGCUUGAAGGUAUAUCUUUAGAUCUUGCAAUCGAGUCUUUUAGUUUCUUGUUUUAUCACUAGUUUAGUUUAUAAAAUAAAACUAUAAAAAUGGAAUUGAGUUUGUCUCAUACGCUUCACCUUUUUAAUAUCUUUCGUGAGUAUGAUGGAAAGGAUAAUUGUGCUCAAGUGCUAGAAGAAGAAAUCUAUAAAAUGUUUGGCACUAAAUGAAUGAUGAGCAUGAUUGCAAUGUUGUUAGUACGAAUUCUCUGAAUAUCCAUGAUACUAAUGAUGAUUGCACUAGUUAUGAUGAAAAUGUCUCCUAUAAACAUGUCAAUUUUUGCGGAGUACAUUGGGUUUGUACGAACACACCAAAUAGGGAAGAUAGAUAUUGCAAGAGGCAUAAGCACUUAGAAA
rnacentral:lncRNA from 1 species